GUGGGGAAUAUUGGACAAUGGGCGAAAGCCUGAUCCAGCCAUGCCGCGUGUGUGAAGAAGGUCUUCGGAUUGUAAAGCACUUUAAGUUGGGAGGAAGGGCAGUAAGUUAAUACCUUGCUGUUUUGACGUUACCGACAGAAUAAGCACCGGCUAACUUCGUGCCAGCAGCCGCGGUAAUACGAAGGGUGCAAGCGUUAAUCGGAAUUACUGGGCGUAAAGCGCGCGUAGGUGGUUUUGUAAGUUGGAGGUGAAAUCCCCGGGCUCAACCUGGGAACUGCCUCCAAAACUGCAUGACUAGAGUACGGUAGGGAGUAGUGGAAUUUCCUGUGUAGCGGUGAAAUGCGUAGAUAUAGGAAGGAACACCAGUGGCGAAGGCGACUACCUGGACUGAUACUGACACUGAGGUGCGAAAGCGUGGGGAGCAAACAGGAUUAGAUACCCGGGUAGUCC
rnacentral:rRNA from 1 species